rnacentral:rRNA from 1 species
GCCCCCCUGGUAUUNCCGGGGGGGCANUGCCUGUUCCGGAGAC